AUGCUUUUUUCUUGUUUCGUCAAAUGGUAAGAAUGCAGCCACAGCCUUCCGUUUUUGAAUUCACCAAACUACUGCAAGUUAUUUUCAAGAUGAAGCAUAUUCGGAUGCCCUUAAACUGUUCGACGAAAUGCGUCAAUCGGCUGCCCCUAUGAACGAGUACACGAUGAACAUCUUGAUUAAUUGCUGUUGCCUUUUGAAACGCGUAGACGUUGGUUUUGCUGUGUUCGGCAUCUUCUUUAAACAGGGCUACAACGCAAAUGUUGUGACAUUCACCACUCUACUAAAAGGUCUCUUUUUCGAUGGUAAGGUGGCCGAGGCGGAGAAAUUGUUUAAGCAACUUUUGAGUUUGAGACUUUGUGAGCCCAAUGAUUUUACAAUUGUUACUGUGAUAAACGGGCUCUGCAAAAAUGGACACGUUCUUGCUGCGCAUGAUUUGCUUUGCUUAUUGGAAAAGACUAUUUAUAAACCCAAUGUUAUGGCUUAUAGCGCGGUGAUUAAUGGCUUAUGCAAGACUGGAAUGGUGGAUAAUGCACUCGAGCUGAAGUCUAGAAUGAUUGAUAAGGGCAUUUCACCUGACGUUGUCACAUAUAACUCGAUGAUUCAGGGCUUGUGCGAUUUUGGUAGAUGGAAAGAGGUGAAGGAUUUAUUAAAUGAAAUGGUGAAUCACAAGAUUUCUUUAACUGUUGUUACUUUUACUGUAUUGGUGGACGCAUUUUGCAAGGAAGGAAAUGUUAAAGAGGCUCGGGAGGUAUUGGAAAUUAUGAAGCAACAAAAUAUUAGUCCCGAUAUUGUCACUUACAAUGCGUUGAUAGAUGGGUAUUGUUUGCAAGGGAAAAUGGAUAAAGCGAAAGAGGUAUUUGAUUCUAUAGCGAGCAGCGGCCUUAAGCCGAGUAUUAUCAGCUAUAACUCUUUAAUGAACGGGUAUUGCAAGAACGGAAAAGUUGAUGAAGCUUGGCGACUUUUUCUCGAAGCUUCUUCGAAAGGCUUAGAGAACACGACAGUUACGUAUAGCACCAUGAUACAUGGAUUAUUAACUGAAGGCCGAAAUGCUGAUGGAUGGAAUUUGUUUAAGGAUAUGGAAGCUCGGCACGUACGUCCAGAUUUAAGUACUUACAAUGUUUUGUUGGAUGGCUUGUGCAAGACUUGUCAGAUUGCCGAAGCAUUUUCAUUUCUAAAGACGAUGGAAGACAAAGGAGUAAGUCCUAAUAUAGUCACAUACGGUAUCCUGAUUAACGGUUUGUGCAAAGAUGGGAAACUUGAAGAUGCAAAAAAACUUUUAAAUGAACUUCCGUCCAAAGGCUUGCAACCUCUUUGUCAAACGUAUACCAUUGUUAUCCGUUCACUUUGUCAUGAAGGAUUUAUAGAGGAAGCAAAAGAUUUGCUUAUAAAAAUGGAGAGAAGUGGUUGUGCACCGAAUAGCGUGACAUACAACAACAUAAUCCAGGGCUUGCUGAAGAAGAAAGAGGUUUACAAGGCAAUGCCAUUCUUAGAGGAAAUGCACAAAAAGGGGUUCUUAGCCGACGCCUCUACUUCGUCCAUGUUAAUUAAUCACCUUCAAGGAUCCAAGAAAGAUGAUGUUCUUCUGGAAAUGAUGAAGAAAGUUGUGCCAAAAAUAUAAAUUAUUUAUUUGAGCUUCUGUAAUAAAACAAAGUUUUGCGAUGACUUGGUACGAUUUUUUGCGAUGUGUUUCCGAUUGAAGCGUGUAAAUAAAUGUGUAUAUCAUGUUGGCCUAGUGAAUAUCCUUUCAAAUUAAAUGCACAUCCCAUCUUUCUGCCCUUUAAUUCUCCUACAACUUAAAUAUUUGGACUGAGAACCUAAUAUUUAGAUUUGAGAAAAUUACUGUUUUCAUCCCUCAAGUUUGCACUGGUUUCACAUUUGGACAUCCAUGUUUAAAUACACACAUUCGGUCCUCAUGUGUUCAACAAUUUGACACUUUUUUGUCAUUUUCUUCAAUUUAGCGUUAGUCUGUCUGUUAAGAAAGUAAUGCACACAUGCUUGAUUCCGUACUAACGGAAAAUAAAAAAUGAUGGUUAUGGAGGGAGGGAGGGAGGGAGGGAGGGAGGGAGGGAGGGAGGGAGAGAGAGAGAGAGAGAGAGAGAGAGAGAGAGAGGGAGGGAGGGAGAGAGAGAGAGAGAGAGAGAGAGAGAGAGAGAGAGAGAGAGAGAGAGAGAGAGAGAGAGAGAGAGAGAGAGAGAGAGAGAGAGAGAGAGAGAGAGAGAGAGAGAGAGAGAGAGAGAGAGAGAGAGAGAGAGAGAGAGAGAGAGAGAGAGAGAGAGAGAGAGAGAGAGAGAGAGAGAGAGAGAGAGAGAGAGAGAGAGAGAGAGAGAGAUAGCGUACUGUGAGAGAGAGCAGAGAGAACGAGCGAAACGAGAGAGAAGAGGGAAGAAAUAAAACAAACAGAUCUGAGAGAAAUGUGACUGUAGAAUUUAUGGUUUAGGUUGAGAGCAAAUUUGGGAUAAAAAAAUGUAAAAUAUAUAGAUCAUAUUUAUUUUUGUAAAAAUGAUUUAGUUCAUAACAAUAUAUUAGGGUUGUAUCUCACGUCUAAUUAUGUUUCCAACUAGGGACCUCUAGUAUAUUAACCCUUAAAUUAAUCAUAAAUCGUUUGCUACCUAAUAUACCCAAGUUACCUUUUUUACUUCUUGAAACACGUUGUCAUUUACUCAUCCACUCUCCCCCUUCUCUCUCUUGCGACACAAUUUUUUUCUUUUUUUGGAGUAAAUUAAAGUUCAGUACAAGGGAAAGUAGGGAAGUGAGGGACUCGAACCUAGACCUUUACCCUAUUGGUAAAUGCUAGAUACCAACUCUCCUAAAGAGGGUUGGUGACACAAUUCAACUAUUUCCCCCUCUCUUCUCGAUCCAUCCACUUCAAAGCCACAACUUUUUAUCGAUUCGAUUGGAAUUAAAAUGUUGAGAAGACAUUUCAUAUGACUCCAUUGAGAUAAGCGUAGAUAAGGAGGUUAAUUUUAAACAUCCACCGGACAGAGAGGAAUAAGAGAAAAGAAGCCGACAAAUACGUCUGUGCCCCUAGGGGAGUUGUGUGAAUUGAAGGGUUUUGAUAGUAAUUCGCCGGAGUUACCAGUUCGACGGACCAAUCUUCCGAAAACGCUCGUCGCUGAUCAAUCCCCUUUUCGCUCUCUCCUAUUUUUCACGGCGGAGGUGGUUUUGUUCAGUGGUGAAUAGUCAACUGGAUAAAUACCACUGGCGGUCACUGUAAAAAAAUAAUAACAGAGAUACACUCAUGGUACACAGAUACCCAAAUCGUCGAACCUUUUGUAAAUAAAAGCUGGACAUUGAAGAUGUAUCUAAUUCAAGACCUAUGGUUUUGAGUUUUUUUCGAUAUGUAGUUUAUUUUUACUUUCCUUGUUGUUCAAAUACAUCUGUUUUGUUGUAGCUGAUUUCAAUAAUUUGUAGUUGGUUUUGAUGAUUUUGUAGUUGAUUUCGGUGACUUUUGUAGUUUCUUUCGGUGAUUUUGUAGUUGAUUAUGAUUUUGAACAGUUGUUUUUGUUAUAAUAAAUAGUUGUUUUGAAUUGUACGUACGUUAAAAUUAUAGCUGGUUACUAAUAAAAUAUAGUUGAUUAUCUAAUAAAAUUUUGUAGUUGAUUACUGUAAUUUGUAGCUGAUUAUAAUUUUAGUAAAUAAAGAAAAAAAAAAAUUGUAGUUGAUUAUUGUAAUUUGUAAUUGUUUAUGAUGCGGUAAAUCUUCCAGGAAACAAAAAGAUGAAUUUAUUAAAAACUAAAUUUAUUAAAAAAAAUAGAAAAUAUAACGAUACAUACGUAGUGGGUAAGAUGGGUGGAAAUAUGGAAUAAUGUAUGGGUAAAAUGGAGUUAUGAGAAGUUAGGGAGUCUCUCAAUUGCAAAUAACAAAGUGAGUUUAGUUCUAUGAAAACAAAUAAGGGUUAAUAUGCUAGAGGUCCCUAGUUGGAAACAUAAUUAGAUGUAGCAUAGUUAGGGAGGCGGCGACAAUAAGGGGAUCAUUAUGGAGGCAAGAGGUCGACGACUAUGGUGGUGGAGGUCAUAUCUAUGGCGGAUGGUGGGUGGCGGCUAUGUCGACUAGGUUUUCAUUUGGUCGACGGCUAUGACGGUUAGGGUUUAAUUUGGUCGACGGCUAUGGAGGCUAGGGUUUAAUUUGGUCGACGUCUAGGGUUUCAUUUGGUCGACAACUAUGUUUUAAUUUGGUCAACGGCUAGGGCGGCUAGGGUUUAAAUUGGUCAACGGCUAGUGUUUAAUUUGGUCGGCGGCUAGGGUUGGUACGGUGGACGACUAGGUUUUUGCGGAUAGGAUUUGACGGCGACUGAAUUUUGUUGGAUGCUAUGAUUUAGUGGUGGUUGGAAGAUGUUGGAAGUUAGGGUUUGGCGGCGGCUGUAAGUUGUUGAAUGAUAGAGUUCGGAGUAGUACACCAUAGUAUACCGUAGUAUGCCAUAACAUAGCAUACCAUAGUAUAGCAUAGUGCACCAUAGUAUUUUUUAAAAUCUACUGUAUUAUUUGACAAAAAUCGAAAAUUUAUUUUUCCGUAAUUUUCAAUAAAAUGUUAAAUUUAUUUUAAUUAUAAUAAAGUAAAAAUUGCUAGAGUGAAAAACGAAAAAAUAAAGAUGACCACGUCGGUAAAAAUAAAAUAAAAUAUAUUAUUAGAUGAAAAAAUGAAGUUAUUAAAUAUAUAAUAAAACGAUAAAUGUUGUUUGAAUUUUACUUACAACAAAUUCGAAUAUGUGUGGAGGGGCAUUUUUUGAAUGAAUUUAAUAAAGGAUGUGAAACAUAAGUUUAGUUGGGCUUGUCAUUUAGUUCUAAUUAGUUUUGUCAACAGGGACCUAAAUCAUAAGACCCCAACAAAUAAUGGGGGGUUUCUCCCUAAUUGACCCUUCGUUAUUUGGUUAUUUUCGAAAAUCAUGUUAUUACUAUAUUUAGGAAGGUUAUGGAAUUCUUUUGGAAAGUUUCUAACAAGGAUUGGAUUUUUUGGGGAAGAAAAUAAAAAAUAUAUGUUUCCUUAAAAAGUACUCCCCCAAUUCCCUUUUAAUAGUCGUAAAGGAUUCCAUUAAAUGUGUCUUGAUUUUAUAACGAAAAUGUAUGCUUUUAGGCAGAAAUGAACUUAUCUUAUAAUUAAUAAGAGAGACAAAUGAAUUAAAAAAAGAAGUAUUAGAAAGAGUUUAUAAGGGUAUAAACUGGAAAUUAAGUAAUUAAUGUAGUAUUGGAAAUCUAUAAUGACAGAUAAUAUAAAACAAAAUAUAUUUAAAAAUAGAUAGUUAUUGUGGAACAUAUAGAGUAUCAUUUAUCUAAUGCAACCGCUUAAAAAAUUUUAUAUGUAUUUUUUUCUAAGGGUAAGUUACACCCACACCCCUGAGGUAUGCUUAAAUAACUUUAAGGCCCCUGUGGUAUUGAUAAUUACACUCACCCCCUUGAAACGUAAUUAUAAACUCUAAUGGGAUAAUGCAUUGGAUACAUUAUUACGAUAGAGUUCUAAUGGACUCUUGGUUUCAGGAAGUGGUGGAGACAACAAAAAGUUAUGGUUGAUUUAAGAAAUAUUGGGCGAGCCAUGUCACCCCAUAACUCCCCAUAACUUUAUGUUAUCUCCACCACUAGCUAAAAGUAAUAGUCCAUUAGAACCCUAUCGGAAUAAUGUAUCCAAUGCAUUAUCCCGUUAGAGUUUCUAACUACGUUUCAGGGGGUGAGUGUAAUUAUCGAUACCAUGGGGACCUUAAAAUUAUUUAAGCAUACCACAGGGGUGUGGGUGUAAUUUACCCUUUUUUCUAAAAAGUAUCGUAUACAUAUCUAACUUGAGAUAAUUAUAGUUUUGGUCAACUUUUUCUCGCACAAAAUUGAUCCUCAAAUAAUUAUUUUUUUUACAUUCAACAAAUAAUCACAUAACUGUCAUAUAGUAGUAUUUAGUUAUUUACAGAAAUGUCACUCUCCGAAUUAUUACAUAAUUGCCACUCACUAUGUAAUUAAAACCUACUACUUUGUAGGUAAUUACAAAAUUACCACUUAUAAAUAAUUACAAAGUUACCACUCAAUAUGUAAUUACAGAACUACCACUCAACCAGUAAUUACGAAAGUGUCACUCGACAGUAAUAUCAGAACGACCACUUUCAAAUAAUUACAUAAUUGCCACUCAACUGGUAAAUAAAGAAGUGCAUUCAACAGGUAAUUACGGAAUUGCCACUUAUCGAUUAGUUAUAGAACUCCCACUGAACAUUAAUUAAAGAACUGUCACGCACCAAGUAAUUACAGAAUUACCAUUCACCAAGUAAUUAAGGAAAUGUCACUUAACAUUGUAAGUACAUAACUGUCACUCACCAGGUAGUUAAAGAAAUUGCCACUCAACAAAUAAUAACAUAACUCCCAUUAAGCAUUAGUUACGGAAGUACCACUCACCAGGUAAUUACAAAAAUACCAUUCACCAAGUAAUUAUAGAACUGCCACUCAACAGUAUAUAUAGAAGUGUUAUUUAACCAAUAAUUACAGAACAAUCAUUUAGCCGUAAUUACAUAAUUGUCACUCACCUAAUUACUACAGCACUGCAACUCAACUAUAAUUACAUAACUACCACCCACCAAGUAAUUACAGAAUUGACAUUCAACAUGUAAGUACAGAACUGCCACUCACCAAGUAAUUACAGAGCUGCCACUUAAUAGCAAGGUUGUAAAAAACGGUAAUCGGAUCCGAGUCGGCCAGGCACCGACUCACGAUUAAUCGGUGCGGCGGUGAUUAAUCGGUGAUAAAUCGGAAAUAAAUCGGUUUUUAAAAUUUAAUAUAAUAUAUUUCUAAAUAUUAUUUAUAAAUACUCCAAACAUAUAUAAAAAGAUAUUUAAACAUAGUUAUAUCUCCAUCAUGUAUAUAUCCUAAUAACAUAAUAAAAGUUUAAUAAUUAUAAGAUCAUUAGUUCUUUAACAAUAACAAUUAACAUAAAAAAAAUAAAGCAUAAACUCAUAUUUUCUUUUAUUAAAAUCCAACUUUUCUUUUGAAUUAUUAAAAAAAAAAAAAAAAAAAAACCGAUUUUUGCCACCGAGUUUGACCCGCCUUAAAUGUUUGACCGCCUCAGACCGCCUCAGACCGCCUCACAGGCAAAAAACCUAUUUUUCAAACCUUUACACUAAAAUCGUAAAGGUUUUGGACCGCCUCCGCCUCGGAGACCGAUUAAUCGGCCGCCUCGGCCGAUUUUUAGAACACCGCUUAAUAGUAAUUCCGAAAUUGCCGAUCAUCAAGUAAUUACAUAAUUGCUAAGCACCAAGUAAUUAUAUGAUUUCCACUCAACAACAAUUGCAAAACUGCCAAUCAUCAAGUAAUUUUAGAACUACCACUCAACAAAUAAUUACAGGACUGCCAUUCAACAUUAAUUACAAAAUUGACAUUCAACAGUACAAGAAUUCCUACUGACCGGUAAUUACAACAUUGCCAUUUAACAGUAAUUACAGAACUGUCACGCAUCAAGUAAUUACAUAAUGUUCACACACUUGGUAAUUACAUAAAUGCCACUCAAUAUCGUAAUUAUGGAAAUGCCACUCACAAGUAUUUACAGAAGUGCCACUCAACAAAUAAUUAUAGAACUGCAAUUCAUCAAUGAUUAUAGAAGUGACAUGCACCCUGUAAUUACAUAACUACCACUCAGCAGCAAUUAUAAAAUUGUCGCUCAACAAAUAAUUAAAGAACUGCCAUUUACCAAUAACUACUGAAUUGUCAUUCACCAAAUAAUUACAGAACUGCCACUCAAAAGUUAUUGAAGAAUUUUCACUCAACAAGUAAUUACAGCCACUCAGUAGUAAUUACAUAACUGUCACUCAUCAAUAAUUACAAAACUAGUACUCAACAUAUAAUUACAGAAUUGCCAUUCGACAUGUAAUUACAGUACUGACAUUCAACAGAUAAUUACAGAAUAAUCAUUCACCAAGUAAUUACAAAACUACCACUUAACAAUAAUUACAGAACUGCCACUCAUCAAAUAAUUAAAGAACGACCAUGCACCAAGUAAUUAUAGCACUGCCACUGAACAGUAAUUACAGAACUGUCAUACAUAAAGUAAUUACAUAAAACACUCAGCAAAUAGUUACAAAACUGUCGUUUAACAGUUAUUACAUAACUAUUACUCACUAAGUAAUUACAAAACUAACACUCAUCAGGUAAUUACAAAACUAACUAACCCUCAUUAGGAGAGUUGGUACCUAGCAUUUACUAAUAGGGUGACGGUCUAUGGUUCGAGUCCCCCCUCCCCUACUUCCCCUUUUAAUGGACUUCAAUUUACUAAAAAAAAAAGGUAAUUACAGAAAUGUCACUCUCUAAGUAAUUACAAAAGUGCUAUUCAACAGUAAAUACAUAAGUGUCCCUAAGCAGUGAUUACAUAGCAAAUAAUUAAAGAACUGCCACUCAUUAGCAAUUAUAGAACUCACACUCAACAAAUGAAUUACAUAACUGCCACUCAACAAAUAAUUAAAGAAAUGCUUAUGAGCAGCAACUAUAGAACUCACACUCAACAAAUGAAUACAUUAAUGCCACUCAGCAACAAUUAGAGAACUCACGCUCAACAAAUAAUUACAAAAUUAUCAUUUAGCAGUAAUUACAGAAACUGCCACUCUCAAAGUAAUUACAACACUUUCCACUGACCAAGUAAUUACAGAAACUGCCACUCUCUAAGUAAUUACACUUUGUGAUAAUCAUCGAGACUUCUUCUUGUGUAGGUAAAAUUAUCUUCAUAAAAUAGCUGAAGAAGAUGAGGGGAUUUGGAAUAACGCUGCUGAUUCGUAGAGCAAUUGCUGCUAAAUCUUCUCACCAUUACUGUAUUUUUGUUCAUCCCUUUUCUUUAUUCAGUUCAAAUUUUCACAAAGAUCGAUCCUUUUCACCUAAACCCAGAAUAGAUUUGAGUUGUAUAAAUGAAUUAGACGAUGCUGUUUUCUUGUUUCGUCAAAUGGCAAGAAUGCAGCCACAGCCUUCCGUUGUUGAAUUCACCAAACUGUUGCAAGUUAUUUUCAAGAUGAAGCAAUAUUCGGGUGCCCUUAAACUGUUCGACGAAAUGCGUCAAUGGGGUGCCCCUAUAGAUGAGUACACAAUGAACAUCUUGAUUAACUGUUGCUGCCUUUUGAAACGUGUAGACGUUGGUUUUGCUAUCUUCGGCUAUUUCUUUAAACACGGUUACGAGGCAAAUGUUACGACAUUCACCACCCUCUUAAAAGGUCUCUUUUUAGAUGGUAAUGUGGCCGAGGCAGAGAAAUUGUUCAAGAAGAUUUUGACUUUGAAACUUUGUGAGCCAAACGAUGUUACGAUUCUUACUGUGAUAGAUGGGCUCUGCAAAGCUGGACGCGUUCAUACUGCCCGUGAUUUGCUUUUGUUGUUGGAAAAGACUAUCUAUAAACCCGAUGUUAUGGCUUAUAACGCUGUAAUUAAUGGCUUAUGCAACUUGCACGUGCCGAAUGCUGGAUAAUGCACUCGAGCUCAAGUCUAGAAUGAUUGAUAAGGGCAUUUCACCGACUCUUGUCACAUAUAACUCGAUGAUUCAGGGAUUGUGCGAUUUUGGUAGAUGGAAAGAGGUGAAGGAUUUAUUAAAUGAAAUGGUGAAUCACAAGAUUUCGGUAGAUGUUGUUACUUUUAGUAUAUUGGUGGACGCAUUUUGCAAGGAAGGAAGCAUUAAAGAGGCUGAAGAUAUUUUGGAAGUUAUGAAGCAACAAAACAUUCGUCCCGAUAUUGUCACCUACACUGCACUGAUAGAUGGGUACUGUUUGCAAGGGAAAAUGGAUAAAGCGAAAGAAGUAUUUGAUUCUAUAACGGGCAACGGCCUUAAGCCAUGUAUUAUGAGCUACGGCACUUUAAUCAACGGAUACUGCAAGAAGGGUAAAGUGGAUGAAGCUUGGCGUCUUUUUCUCGAAGUUUCUUCGAAAGGCUUAGAACACACGACAGUUACUUAUAACACCAUGAUGCAUGGAUUAUUUAGUGAAGGCAGAAUUGCCGAUGGAUGGAAACUAUUCAACGAUAUGGAAACUCGGAAAGUACAUCCUAAUUUACGUACUUACAAUACUUUGUUGGAAGGCUUGUGCAAGACUCAUCAGAUUGCCGAAGCAUUUUCGUUUCUACGGGUGAUGGAAGACAAAGGAUUAAGUCCUAAUAUAGUCACAUACGGUAUCCUGAUUAGUGGUUUGUGCAAAGAUGGGAAACUUGAAGAUGCAAAAAAUCUUUUAAACGAACUUCCUUCCAAAGGUUUGCAACCAAAUUGUCAAACGUAUACCAUUGUUAUCGGUUCACUUUGUGAAGAAGGAUUUGUAGACGAGGCAAAAGAUUUGCUUGUGAAAAUGGAGAGGAGUGGCUGUGCACCGGAUAGUGUGACAUACAACAACAUAAUCCAAGGUUUGCUAAAGAGGAAAGAGGUUUACAAGGCAAUGCCAUUCUUAGAGGAAAUGUACAAAAGGGGAUUCUCGGCUGAUGCAGCUACUUCAUUCAUGUUAAUUAAUCACCUGCAAGGAUCAGAGAAACAUGAUUUUCUUCUGGAUAUGAUUAAGAAAGUUGUGCCGAAAUUAUAAAUUAUUUAUUUGGACUUCUGAAGUUUGAUAAGGUUUUAUUAGUUUUUUUUUUUUUUUUUUAAGAAGAAUAGUUAUUGGUUCCCCAAUUCCCCUCCUGGUGUCUCGAACCCAUGACCAAAUAGAUCUAGGUGCAAGGGUGCAAGGUGUUUACCAACAUGCUACCUUGUCAUAAGGUUUUUGAUAAGGCUUUGCUAGCAGGUCGGUCUGGUCUAACUUGUGAGUUUUGCCUUUGUGCACGGUCAUUGUAAUCCUUCAAAGUAUAUUUUGUAGGACAAAAAUGCACUUCACCCCUACAAAUUUCUCAUUUUCGCACUUCCCCCCCUAAAAAUUCAACAACUGGAUAAUCCCCCUUCAAAAUAUUAUUUUGAUUGCACUUUGCCCAAAGGCCAAUUUUUGUUGGGCAUGUGCAACAAAAUAACAUUUUAUAGGGGCAAUGUGCAAAAAUAUAGUGUUUUUAAGGGGUAACGUGCAACAAAAAUGACAUAUGAAGGGGCAAUGUGCAACAAAAAUAUCAAAUGCCGAUAAAUAAUCCAUCAGAAUAUUGUUAUCGAGGUAAUGUGCAACAACAAUAACAUUUUGAAGGGGGGGCAUUCAUUUUUUACAAUUUUGAGGGGGUAAAGUGUGAAAAUUAGAGUUUUUUAGGGGGUGAUGUGCAAUUUGCCCUAUUUUGUAACUAAUUCAAGUUACGUUGAGCCUUAUCAUCUUACUUUUGUUGUGUUUAUUUUUCUUUAUUGGGUAAAUUACAAAAGAACCCCUGUACUGAGCCUGAACUAUGAAAAACAUCGGCACCUACAGUAUUCGUAAUUACCAAAAUUCCCAUACGUUUGUUUUCGUCUUACACCUACCCCUUAUGGUGGGAUUUUUCAUGGAAUCUUUUUGAGUCGAGGGAUUAUUCCUAAAAAAAUGCCAAUUCUACUUCUGUAGACGUGACAUUUCUUUAUGCUACUUUUUAAAGACAAAAAUGAUCCUUAAAGGACCUUUACAUGGAAUUUUUAUUCUUCUUAGUAACACAUUCACAACUCUUUUGUACUAUUACGAAUAGAUGGGGUGUUUUUGUAAUUUAGCCUAAGUUCAGGGGAAUUUUCAUAAUUUACCAUUUAUUAUGACUGACCUUACAUGUAAUAUUCAAUUGAUUUGGUUGCCACAUAUCCCUUGUUUUAAUCAGUUGUUUUAUUUUAUUUUAUAUUUACCUAGGCAGGAAAUUUGAACUUGGGUUAAUUUAGACUUGUUCUUUUGCUCCAACCGCUACACCAUUCACUACAUGGCCAAUUAAAGAAGAUAUUGAUAUAUUGGGAAUUGAUAUGAUACAUCUUUAUAUAUAAAAGAAAGGUUUUCCCGAAACCCUAAAAACAGUUUUUUUUUGAAUAUUUUUGUGAAAUAUUUAUUUCCUUUACUUUCUUCUUUUUCAUAGCGCAUUCGAUAUUAUUUGUUUUUUUUUUCCUUUUUUAAAGAACACGUUUCGGUUUAUUUUAAUUGUUUUCUUUUUCUUUUUUUCUUCUUCCUUUCUUUCCCUUCCCCACUAAACACGUUCAAUUUUUUUUUUUUUCACAUUUUUUAUUUUUAAAAGUAUUUUCUUUCCCUUUUCUUCUUCUAUUUUAUUCUUCGAGCACUAAAUUUUCUCUAUUUUUUUAUAGGACACGUUUUUAAAUUAUUUUGUUUUUCUUUUUUUUUUUUCUUCUUUUUCCCCUUCGACACUAAACACGGUCAACUUUGAAUUUUUUUUUUACGGUUGUUUUUUCUUUUUAAUUUUUUUUUUCCCAUUCUAGCACUAACUUUUCUCUCAUUUUUUUUAUAGCACAUGUGUAUUAAAUUCAUUGUUAAAAUAUAUACAUAGAUUAUGAUUGCAAUUAGUGGAAUUUUUACAUUUUCAGUGUUCCAUUGUCUUGCUAUUGUACAUAUCAUAUAUGUUUACUACAUUCUUAUUUUGUUUAUAUUAUAUUUUUUUUCAAUAUCCACCCGUGCAACGCACGAGGUAAAAUACUAGUUUGAAUAAAAAAAGAGAGCUAAUAUAGUACAAGAUAUAUAAAUUGGGGACUAUAUAAUUAUUUAAUGGGCAAAAUGCACUUUGCCCCCUUAAAAAACUCACAAUUUGCACUUUCCCCCCUAAGAAACCGAAAAAGAGACUCUCCCCCUUCCAAAUUGUGCCCCAGUCGCACUUUGCCCCAAAAUUAGAAUUCCAGUGUUUUUUUUCACCGGAAAUCAAAUUUCUCCAUCAAAUUAGGGGUAUAUGCGUCAAAUCAUCUUUUCCAUCCAUUUAAAAAGAUUUAAGGGUGCAAACGUAUUUUUCCUUAAAAGAAUUUAUUUCUUUGUUUAAUUUUUUUCAUUUACAAAUUAUAGUUUUUAAUGCAAUAUAUUCAACUUUGCAUAAUUCCAAAAAUAUUUUCAUAUUUGUCAUUCAUGUUGCAAAUAUUUUCAUUAUUGUUUAAUAAAGUUUUAAUAGUAUUGAAAUUUAAAGAAACAAAAUGCAAAAAUAUAAAUUCAAUAUAACUGGAAAAAAAAAAAGAAAAAAAAAAUAGUAAUCUUCUUCCCGUGGCACCUCCCCCACCAAUUUCGACCGCCAAACAACUCUGCAUCCACCUUCUGUUCCGCCACCAGCAGCCACGCAACACCACCACACCACAGUUGCUACAGCACCACGAAGAACUCAGCCCAGAUCCGGAUAAUCCGCCUUCUAACAUUAAAUUCAAACAAUCCAUCGUCGAACAUAGCACAUAUGAUUUUAGGUGGGCGAAUAAAUUGGAGUUAUUUAUGUGCAAUUAACGUCGUCGUCUUCCUUGUUGCAGAAAUGGUCGAUUUUGGUGAUGCAGAAGGCGGGAGCGACAUCAAUCGAGCUGCAAAAUUUAAUAAUGGGAAUACGAAAAUUGAGCAACAAUGGUGUGGGCGUAAUGAAGGUUAUGGCUGUGGCGAAGAAAACUAGUGUUUUGAAGAACUUGAAAAUAGUGAGAGCAAGCAUUAGUUGAUGGGUCUUUUGCUCUAGAGCUGAUGACGAUUUUUUAUGAUGAUGAAGUGCGGUGGCAGAGGUGGUGGUGGUGCGGUGGUGGGAAGAAGGAAGGGGGUUAGGGUUCUUAAGAAAGUUCUAAAUUGCAAUUUAGGAGGAGGAAUUUAUACUCAGGUGAAAAUUUUAAAAGAAAAACAUAUAUACCCUAAAAUGACGCAUAUACCCCUUAAGUGCACGGAGAUAUUUGAAAUCCGGUGAAAAAAACACUGCAAUUCGAAUUUUGGGGCAAAGUGCAACUGGGACACAAUUUGGAAGGGGGAGAGUCUCUUUUUCGGUUUCUUAGGGGGGAAAGUGCAAAUUGUGAGUUUUUUAAGGGGGCAAAGUGCAUUUUGCCCUUAUUUAAUAUUGUUAGUACCUAACAAAAUAUUUAAAAAGUAUUAAUGGCAUUUUGCCCCCAAACUCUGGAUUGUUUCGCACAUUACCCCCUAGACUAAAAAAAAGUUGCACACCCUAAACUCUAUUAUUUGUAGCACCGAUCACGUAAUUGACUAUUUCCGGCCAAAACUUCUCCUGAAAUGCGAGUGUAGUCGUAGCUUUGAUCAAAUAGCUAACUACGUACGCAUUAACUUUGGUGGUGGAUCGUCGGAGCUUCAAUUAGCUGGCUAAGCAUUAGUCUUUUUUUCUUUUUUUGGGUAAAAGGAACCCGCAUCCAACCAUAUAGGUGCAAUGGAUAAACCUACCUCUUGUUUAAAAACUUGCAAAUCAUAUGAGAAACGUGAAUCACACUAGGCAAAUCAUGUAUGACAACCAUGUGUGGCUAAGCAUUAGUUCACUUUAGCACUAGUUAACUAAAUUGGAUCUCCGAUAACCCACCAGCGAAAAAAAAAGUUCAAAAAAAUAGUUGAAUGUUAGCUAUUGUUGAAGUCAGCUAAUAAGAAGUCAACUAAUGCGGAGUCAGCAAAUUAAAACAUCCGACAACCUAUUGCCGAGAAAAAAAAAGGGUUGGGAAAAGAAAAACUAACGUCAACCAAUGUUGAAUUCAACUAGUGCUUCGUCAACUAAUCAGAGCCACGACAACCCGUCGCCCGAAAAUACUCAAUUACGAUGAAUAAUUCAUCGGAAUUUUGCUAUCGGGGCAAUGUGCAACAAGAAUAACAUUUUAAAGGGGGCAGUCACUUUAAAAAAACAAUAGGGGUAAUGUGCGAAAAUUAGAAAUUAAAAAUUAGAAAUCAAAAAACAAAAACAACAAAAAAACAAAAAAAAUAAUAAAAAAAUAAAAAAAUUCGGUAGUCUCCGAGCCUUCUUCUUCUUCUGUAGGUACCAGUUCAUUCUUCACUGAAAUUAUCUUCAUAAAAUUGCUGAAAAAAAUGAGAGGAACUGAAAUGCUGAUUCGUAGAGCAUUAUUCGCUAAAUCUUCCCACCAUUACGCUAUUUUUACUUAUCCCUUUUCUUUCUUCUGUUCAAAUUUUCAUAGUGUGAGUCACAAAGAUCGAUCCUUUUCACCUAAACCCAGAAUAGAUUUGAGUUGUAUAAAUGAAUUAGAUGAUGCUGUUUUCUUGUUUCGUCAAAUGGUUAGAAUGCAGCCACAGCCUUCCGUUUUUAAAUUCACCAAACUACUGCAAGUUAUUUUCAAGAUGAAGCAAUAUUCGGUUGCCCUUAAACUGUUCGACGAAAUGCGUCAAUGGGGUGCCCCUAUAGAUGAGUACACAAUGACCAUCUUAAUUAAUUGUUGCUGCCUUUUGAAACGCGUAGACAUUGGUUUUGCUAUCUUCGGCUGCUUCUUUAAACUCGGACACAAGCCAGGUGUUACGACAUUCAACACUCUCCUAAAAGGAUUCUUUUUAGAUGGUAAUGUGGCCGAGGCAGAGAAAUUGUUCAAGAAGAUCUUGACUUUGAAUCUUUGUGAGCCAGACGAUGUUACGAUUCUAACUGCGAUUGAUGGGCUCUGCAAAGCUGGACGUGUUCAUACUGCCCGUGAUUUGCUUUUGUUGUUGGAAAAAACUACUAUCUAUAAACCCGAUGUUAAGGCUUAUAACGCUGUAAUAAAUGGCUUAUGCAAGACCGGAAUGGUGGAUAAUGCACUCGAGCUGAAGUCUAGAAUGAUUGAUAAGGGCAUUUCACCUGACGUUGUCACAUAUAACUCGAUGAUUCAGGGCUUGUGCGAUUUUGGUAGAUGGAAAGAGGU
rnacentral:lncRNA from 1 species